rnacentral:misc_RNA from 1 species
UUAUUAUUAUUAUUAUUAUUGAGAAAGAGAGAGAAAGGAUAUGAUUCCUUAGUUUGAUCAAACCUUCAUAUUCAAGUUAUCCUAUACGAGGGGCAAUUAUUGCAAAACAAGUAAAAGUUUAACAUAAAUGAUUGUACUUCCAUUAUACCUUCUAUAUUUCAGAACUAUUCAUCAAGAAAUAAUAAGAACAUACAUUUCAAUUCACUUGUUAUUUUAUCCUUUCCUCACUUCUCCACUUUGCAUCUAAUAGGAGAAAGGUUACAUGAGACAACCACUGAGUCUUUCUUGGUUAUCAGGAACAUAAGAAGAAAUUGGAAAAAAUCCUUCAUCCAAUUCCCCUUGUGUUUGGCAAACCGAGAUGAACAAAAUGGGAAUGGUGAAUCAGAAAUGAAAAUUAUUACAUGACUUUCUUUACCACACAGGAGCCAGGUACUAGAAAUUAUAAUAAAUGGGAAUUCAUCCUCAAUCCCUCAUUUCCAGUAACCAAACCAAGCCUAAAUGCCACAACUUCAUCAAUAAAUUUACUUCCACUGAUCCUCUAUUUUUUCCUUCACUUUAAAAAAUAAUUAAAAUCCAUUAACAUGCAUGGCAUUGAGAACUAGCCUACAACACUCAUUUGUCAUAAUAUGACGUAUCUGUACUCACUCAAACUCAGAACAUUUUCUUCCUUGCUUAAACUAAUUACCAGUUCAAUUAAGUAAAGAAACAUAGAAAAAAAUGGAACUCUUCUUUUCAACAAAAAUAAGUGCAAUUGGCAACUUAACAUUCUUGCAAUUGCAACAACCGUUAUACAGUUCCCAAUUCUCAUUUCCCUUCCCCAAAAGUUUGAACGGUCAAAAUGAUUUAUAUGAAUUAUCUAAAUUAGAUAGGAGGGGAAACAAGGCAUCUAGAGCCAAAAAAAAAAAAAAGG